CAAAAUACCGACAGAAGACUACACGAUGCCAGAAAAGUGGCCGGGCUACGAAGUUCCAUUAAAAUCUCCGUGGAGACGUCAAGAGGGCAGCAGACAGAUGACUGCCGCUGUGAUGCAGAGGCUGACCGGACCGCUCCAUAAUCAGAGUCACCUAUGCAGAAAGAUGCUAAUACUACAGGCACCGAAGGAUCACACCUAGGAGAAGAGAAGAACAGUGCAUGUGUACUCCUCUGGCAUACCAGAGGAGUGUCUCUGACACACGGAAGAACACAUAAUGUAUUUGCCGGCCACUCAUAUUUCAGAUAUAUUACCUGUCCAGGUGUACCCUGCCUCUCGCCAUUGACUGCUGGAGAUAGGCACCAGCACCCCUCGCCAUCCCAACAAGGAUAAGGGUGUAGGAAAAUGGAUGGUAAUAAAUUAGUACAAAAAGUCAUUCAAGUUUGGGUAAUGUUCUGUCAAAACACCACCUCUUCCUGUCUGUGGAUGUGAGCACACCAUUCUAUAACAGUCUAAUCUUGAAUG